UUACGGAGAGUUUGAUCCUGGCUCAGGAUGAACGCUGGCGGCGUGCUUAACACAUGCAAGUCGAACGAUGAAGCCCAGCUUGCUGGGUGGAUUAGUGGCGAACGGGUGAGUAACACGUGAGUAACCUGCCCUUAACUCUGGGAUAAGCCUGGGAAACUGGGUCUAAUACCGGAUAGGAGCGUCCACCGCAUGGUGGGUGUUGGAAAGAUUUAUCGGUUUUGGAUGGACUCGCGGCCUAUCAGCUUGUUGGUGAGGUAAUGGCUCACCAAGGCGACGACGGGUAGCCGGCCUGAGAGGGUGACCGGCCACACUGGGACUGAGACACGGCCCAGACUCCUACGGGAGGCAGCAGUGGGGAAUAUUGCACAAUGGGCGCAAGCCUGAUGCAGCGACGCCGCGUGAGGGAUGACGGCCUUCGGGUUGUAAACCUCUUUCAGUAGGGAAGAAGCGAAAGUGACGGUACCUGCAGAAGAAGCACCGGCUAACUACGUGCCAGCAGCCGCGGUAAUACGUAGGGUGCGAGCGUUAUCCGGAAUUAUUGGGCGUAAAGAGCUCGUAGGCGGUUUGUCGCGUCUGUCGUGAAAGUCCGGGGCUUAACCCCGGAUCUGCGGUGGGUACGGGCAGACUAGAGUGCAGUAGGGGAGACUGGAAUUCCUGGUGUAGCGGUGGAAUGCGCAGAUAUCAGGAGGAACACCGAUGGCGAAGGCAGGUCUCUGGGCUGUAACUGACGCUGAGGAGCGAAAGCAUGGGGAGCGAACAGGAUUAGAUACCCUGGUAGUCCAUGCCGUAAACGUUGGGCACUAGGUGUGGGGACCAUUCCACGGUUUCCGCGCCGCAGCUAACGCAUUAAGUGCCCCGCCUGGGGAGUACGGCCGCAAGGCUAAAACUCAAAGGAAUUGACGGGGGCCCGCACAAGCGGCGGAGCAUGCGGAUUAAUUCGAUGCAACGCGAAGAACCUUACCAAGGCUUGACAUGUUCUCGAUCGCCGUAGAGAUACGGUUUCCCCUUUGGGGCGGGUUCACAGGUGGUGCAUGGUUGUCGUCAGCUCGUGUCGUGAGAUGUUGGGUUAAGUCCCGCAACGAGCGCAACCCUCGUUCCAUGUUG
rnacentral:rRNA from 1 species